rnacentral:tRNA from 1 species
CACUAGAAAGCUAAAAUCGAUUAAGCAUUGGCCUUUUAAGCCAAACCUUGGUGAUUAACGACCACCUCUAGUGA